rnacentral:siRNA from 1 species
AGGGAAAGCAGAAAAAAGAUGUGU